UACGUACUGUGCGAACGUUAUUCGGAAUCACUGGGCUUAAAGGGUGCGUAGGCGGCCAAUUAAGUAGGGUGUGAAAGGUUACGGCUCAACCGUGACAUUGCGCUCUAGACUGCUUGGCUCGAGUGAGAUAGGGGUGUGCGGAACUUCCAGUGGAGCGGUGAAAUGUGUUGAUAUUGGAAGGAACGCCGGUGGCGAAAGCGGCACACUGGGUCUUAACUGACGCUGAGGCACGAAAGCGUGGGGAGCAAACAGG
rnacentral:rRNA from 1 species